rnacentral:rRNA from 1 species
GAUUAACGCUGGCGGCGUGCAUAACACAUGCAAGUCGAACGAUGAAACUUAACUGAUUUCUUCGGAAUGAUUUUAAGUGGAUUAGUGGCGGACGGGUGAGUAACGCGUGAGUAACCUGCCUUGGAGAAGGGGAUAGCCUUUGGAAACGAAGAAUAAUACCCUAUGAUAUGAUAAUAUCUCAUGAUAUUAUCAUCAAAGAUUUAUCGCUCUAAGAUGGACUUGCGUCUGAUUAGUUAGUUGGUGAGGUAACAGCUCACCAAGGCAGCGAUCAGUAGCCGGCUUGAGAGAGUGUACGGCCACAUUGGGACUGAGACACGGCCCAGACUCCUACGGGAGGCAGCAGUGGGGAAUUUUGCACAAUGGGGGAAACCCUGAUGCAGCGACGCCGCGUGAUUUAGAAGGCCUUCGGGUUGUAAAAAUCUUUUGUAUGGGAAGAAAAUGACAGUACCAGACGAAUAAGGACCGGCUAAUUACGUG